GAUGAAGAACGUAGCGAAAUGCGAUACGUAAUGUGAAUUGCAGAAUUCAGUGAAUCAUCGAAUCUUUGAACGCAUAUUGCGCUCUCUGGUAUUCCGGAGAGCAUGCUUGUUUGAGUAUCAGUAAACACCUCAACUUCCAUAUCUUUUUUGAAAUGGGAGUUGGACUUGAGUGAUCCCAACGCUUUUCCUCACCGAAAAGCGGCGGGUUACUUGAAAUGCAGGUGCAGCUGGACUUUUCUCUGAGCUAUAAGCAUAUCUAUUUAGUCUGCCUAAAAAACAGAUUAUUACCUUUGCUGCAGCUAACAUAAAGGAGAUUAGUUCUUGUGCUGACUGAUGCAGGAUUCACAAAGACAGGCUUCGGCCGACUUUGUAAACUCGUUCUCAAAUCAAGUAAGACUACCCGCUGAACUUAAGCAUAUCAAUAAGCGGAGGA
rnacentral:misc_RNA from 1 species